UGGUUAGCUCAGUUGGUAGAGCGCUCCACCUGUAAUGGAGAGGUCCCGGGUUCGAUACCUCGACCA
rnacentral:tRNA from 1 species